GACGGAGGGUGCAAGCGUUGUUCGGAUUGACUGGGCGUAAAGGGCGUGUAGGCGGUCGGCCAAGUCUGAUGUGAAAGCCCGAGGCUCAGCCUCGGAAGUGCGUCGGAAACUAGUCGGCUGGAGCGCGAUAGAGGAGGGUGGAAUUCCUGGUGUAGCGGUGAAAUGCGUAGAUAUCAGGAGGAACACCGGCGGCGAAGGCGGCCCUCUGGAUCGUUGCUGACGCUGAGACGCGAAAGCGUGGGGGGCAAACAGG
rnacentral:rRNA from 1 species